AACGAACGCUGGCGGCAUGCCUAACACAUGCAAGUCGAACGCCCCGCAAGGGGAGUGGCGGACGGGUGAGUAACGCGUGGGAACCUGCACUUCAGUGGGGGAUAACGACGGGAAACUGUCGCUAAUACCGCAUACGCCUACGGGGGAAAGAUUUAUCGCUGAAGGAUGGGCCCGCGUCGGAUUAGCUAGUUGGUGAGGUAACGGCGCACCAAGGCGGCGAUCCGUAGCUGGUCUAAGAGGAUGAUCAGCCACACUGGGACUGAGACACGGCCCAGACUCCUACGGGAGGCAGCAGUGGGGAAUAUUGGACAAUGGGGGAAACCCUGAUCCAGCAAUGCCGCGUGAGUGAUGAAGGCCUUAGGGUUGUAAAGCUCUUUCGACGGGGACGAUGAUGACGGUACCCGUAGAAGAAGCCCCGGCUAACUUCGUGCCAGCCGCCGCGGUAAAAC
rnacentral:rRNA from 1 species